rnacentral:rRNA from 1 species
UACGUAGGCAGCGAGCGUUGUUCGGAGUUACUGGGCGUAAAGAGUGCGUAGGCGGUGCUCCAAGUCUGGUGUGAAAUCUCCCGGCUUAACCGGGAGGGUGCGCCGGAAACUGGGGUGCUGGAGUGUGGGAGAGGUAAGCGGAAUUCCCGGUGUAGCGGUGAAAUGCGCAGAUAUCAGGAAGAACACCCGUGGCGAAGGCGGCUCUCUGGGACGGUACUGACGCUGAGACGCGAAAGCGUGGGGAGCGAACAGG